AUUGAACGCUGGCGGCAUGCCUUACACAUGCAAGUCGAACGGCAGCACGGGGGCAACCCUGGUGGCGAGUGGCGAACGGGUGAGUAAUAUAUCGGAACGUGCCCUGGAGUGGGGGAUAACGUAGCGAAAGUUACGCUAAUACCGCAUACGAUCUACGGAUGAAAGUGGGGAUCGCAAGACCUCAUGCUCGUGGAGCGGCCGAUAUCUGAUUAGCUAGUUGGAGGGUAAAAGCCUACCAAGGCAUCGAUCAGUAGCUGGUUUGAGAGAACGACCAGCCACACUGGGACUGAGACACGGCCCAGACUCCUACGGAGGCAGCAGUGGGGAAUUUGGACAAUGGGCGCAAGCCUGAUCCAGCAAUGCCGCGUGUGUGAAGAAGG
rnacentral:rRNA from 1 species